UUGCUUUAUAAGUUUGUUACUGUGAAGAAUACAUUAUAUUAAUUAUUAAAAACUUUUGUGUGGCAGCAUCACUCUCCUCUUCAGCGGGCAUUUGCAGAAAUGCGGCGGACAUUCAUACUGGUAACGUGGCUUCAUCGUCAUUUACUCGCACGGGGGCAUGCAGAAACGAACCCGAAAUUCAUAAAGUGAAUGUGUCUGCAACACCAACUUCGUCUGGUACUCGCACGUUUUGAACAAUGGGACGACAACAUUUAACUCCAUUCCCAAAGAGUUACAGUGUGUGAUGGUUUACAAAUGUAUACCUUAUUUUUUAAUAUUUGGAAGUAUUUUUAGAUGCACACCAAACUUUCACAGCUGACAUUUAGAAUCCUUUUCUUUUAAUUAGAGCCAUAUUGUA